UUCAAUCAAAGAAACAUGAAAAUUUCAGGGUUAUUUUAGUUGUUUUCAAGGUGUGAUGUGAAUAUAUUGUGGUAUUGAAUAAAUUUGGCCCUUUUAAAGUUUUUUAAGUUGUCCUUUUCAUUCUUUUUAUUUGUAAUAAUCUGAAAAAUGUAAUUUAACUUUGUUUUAGUGUGUAUUGUUUGCUCUGUUUUGGUUUUAGUUGGUGAAAUUUGUCCUCAGCUUAAGAAGGUCUUGAUGGAAUUGGUUUGGGAAAAGUUUCAUUUGAAGUUAGAGUUUUGAAUUGGUUUCAUCUAAGUACUUUUUAACUGUUGACAAUGUAAUGUUCAAGACACUUCCUUGCUAUUUUUCAACUGCAAGCCUCUGGAACUGUGUGCCAAGGUGAAUCAUCACCAUUGAUUUUUAUUGUGGAAAUCUUGAGAUGAUUUUUGGAUCUUAAUGCUUGAGAUU